rnacentral:rRNA from 1 species
UACGGAAGGCAGCAGUGGGGAAUAUUGCACAAUGGGCGCAAGCCUGAUGCAGCCAUGCCGCGUGUAUGAAAAAGGCCUUCGGGUUGUAAAGUACUUUCAGUCGUGAGGAAGGUGUUAAGGUUAAUAACCUUAGCAAUUGACGUUAGCGACAGAAGAAGCACCGGCUAACUCCGUGCCAGCAGCCGCGGUAAUACGGAGGGUGCGAGCGUUAAUCGGAAUUACUGGGCGUAAAGGGCACGCAGGCGGUUAAUUAAGUUGGAUGUGAAAUCCCCGGGCUUAACUGGGAAUGGCAUUCAAGACUGGUUAGCUAGAGUCUUGUAGAGGGGGUAGAAUUCCAUGUGUAGCGGUGAAAUGCGUAGAGAUGUGGAGGAAUACCGGUGGCGAAGGCGGCCCCUGGACAAAGACUGACGCUCAUGUGCGAAAGCGUGGGGAGCAAACAGGGAUUAGAUACC